rnacentral:lncRNA from 1 species
UAAUAUUAUACGAAGUCAAAUAGGUUUAGCCAUUUGAUUUUUAACCCUAAAAAUGCACUUCACCCAAAAUGAGGUUGAGUGAAUGAGCCUUGUUCGACUCCAGAUAUUAAUAGAACUCAUUGACAUGACUCCAGACAGGGAACACUGUUCCCUGCCAAGAGAGGUUGAGAGACAUUUUUGACCAUUGCCGUGUCUCAAAUCAAUGUCAAUAAAUAUUGAAUAUUGUUAAUUAUACAUCGCUACACGAAUCUAAACUUUGGCUCCAUUUUGUUCCCAUAACUAUUUAAUUGGGAUUUGUCUCUAACGCUAUUAAAGUUUCAGGAAUCAAAAUUUACCAAAACUUUUUCAAGAUCCUAUUGGGAAAAAAUAUAGUUGUCUACGAUAUCAAAUUACUUGGAUUUUUGGAUUUGGCACGUUUUUGACCAAGAAUCGUAUUUUUAACUCGUCGAAAAUUAAAGUUCUUCAAGAUUCAGGAUUGACUGUGCUCAAGGAAAACGUUAAAAGGAAUUUCAAAGUAAAGGAAACCACAAGGCAACUGUAUUGUCCAAAACAGUUAACUAAUACAUUACUCUGGUCAACUGGAAAGAUCUGAAUACAAUCAUUAUAACUUAUAAUAGUUUUAGUCGUAUCUAUGACUCUACUUCUGAAAAGGAACACAAAUCCGUAUAUUAUUUAAACAAAGUUUCAAAUUUUGUAAAAAAAUAAACUCUUAUUGAAAGCAACUAGAAGGACUCCACGAUUUUCAAGGAUCUAUCUUUUUAUACCUUUGAUUGCCGCUUUUUAGAUUUAGAAGAACCAGAUCAAUUACCUCAUCAAUAUGACUUCAAUGAUUUUUAAUUUGUCAAGGAACUGUAGUUCUUCGUCGAAAUCCAGUUUUAAAUCUCUGUUUAGAGAAUUAGAACGAGCUGGAGUUCAAAAUGUACAAACGCAUGUUUACAUAAAAGAGGUUUACAAAAAGUAUUUUGAAACAUCUAAACAAUACUGUAGAGCUGGUGAGGAAAUGAAUCACUUUGCUGAUACUUUUACCACAUAUCUUCGCAGUUUAAGAGAAUGGAAUAACGUUCGUCUUGAGUUUCACGCAAAAGGUGAACGAAGCGUUGAAGAAACUGCUCGAUUAGUUGGAUUCAAGCUUCCUCAUGAUCCUAAAUAGUUAAUCAUUUAAAUGAUACUUAAUGAGUUCUUUAUUAGUCAAUAUAUACUUAGUUCUCCAACAACUGUUUUAAAUUAUAAAUAUUAAUAAUUAAUUAUCUUUCUUAUUUUAAAGGAAAAUUAUUGAACUUACUACUGACUUAAUCAUCCCUUUCUAAUAAUUAUAAGUCUAAAACAUAUCAACAUAAAAUUUUAUUCGAUAAGUUGACAAUAAGGAAUGUAAAGAGUAAUGACUAAACGUAUUAUUUAUUAUGGACGCCUUGUAAUUAUAUCGUUAAAAUAUUUCUUGUAAUAAGACAAUUGAAGGAAAUUUAAUCGCCAUUUUGUAGGAUGUACAUUAUGUUUAAAAAAAAAUUAUGUAGUUUACGUAUUACUCGACAUUCUAUCUAUUAAAAUGUAGAGAAAAUGUAAAA